UGGACUGAGCCACCCAGGCGCCCUGAAAGGGGAUUAUUUUUGCAAUAUUUUCACAUUCAAAUAGUGAUAGAAAAAGACAAAUGAUCUGUAAUCAAGGAAAACAUUGAAAGCCGGUUUCAACCGUGAAGACUCGCUCAGGAAUGCUGAAUUUGUUUUUUCUUCCAUGCAUUACCCACUGAUGCCUCGGGAUGGAUAUCCUCACAACAGAAGCCUUUCUCCCGUGCUUUUGAAGUUUUGCGUUAAGCAGUUUCCAGGGCACCUAUUUUCUGGCUUCUUCUUUGGGUUUUAGUUUCUGUUUGUUACCUGCUCUAUUUAGUUACCCCUAGGGCACACAGCUAAUAGCUUUUAGCUGAACAACUUCUGCUUUUAAAGGGAAUUCAUAGUGUGACGUUCUCAGGUUAUCCUGUAACUGAUUGUUUUUAAUGAAUGGCUCUUCUAGUUUGACUAAGGAUUUCUGACCUUUAAGACUGUUAGUAUUUCUAGGUGAUAUUUACUCUGUUGAUCUCUCGCUUUCAUUGUUUCUUUGCACUCUGUGUGUAGUUUCUCUGUUUAAACUAGUGAGUUCAUGUGUUUUGAAACUAAACACUUAAUCUCCUUUGGUUUGUAUACUUUGCAAUCGUUGCCUAUGGAAGCACUCCCUCAAUGCAUUAGAGAGAUGUUGAAAUCCUGGUUUCAGAUAAAUUCUAGUGCUUCUUGCCAGAGGGAGAGGAGGGCCACUUGAUGUGGCUUAACAACUCUGGUUUAUUUUCUGCUUCAUCUUGGUUUAUCAUCCCUAAUAAUAUCAGACCUUGGCAUUUCAGAUACUUGCUGAGAACAGAGGAAAGGAAAUAUAUAUAUAUAUCCUACAAGAUCUUCACGCUACGGAUUAUUUUUUUUUCCUUUCUGGGAAUGAAAAAGGGGAAGAAACCUGAGGUUUGAGGGGUUACCUGGCUGGUUAGAUAAUACACAUGAAUAAAUGAUAAGACUGGGACUCUAUCCUGGGAUUCGUCUGUUCCUUUAGCACUUUGUUCUUGCCUCCCUGGAGGAUGCUGCCUUUGUUGAAAAACAAAAAUGGUAACCGAGGGCUCGCACAGCUUGCAAAUAGUGUUGCCUCAUUGACCUUCUUAGACCUCCAAGCCUACGAAUGAAAUCUGCAUUCUAGUCCAGCCUGAGGAUCGUGCCACCGUUACAAAGCCAUCCCAUCUGGGUUUGGGACGGCGACAGGUGAUCCUUUCCUCCUUGGCUCCUUUUCCUCAUCUGCGCAACCACCACUACAGUCAACCCUCCUUUCAAACCCUCUACGUCAUCCCCUUCGUCAUCAUCCCCCGGAGAGAAGCAUCCGUUUCCUGUUUCAUGGAGAAUGUCAGUCAAGAACACCUCAAACUCUGUCCCGAACCGUCAUGCUUUCCUUUCCUACAUCUGCACCUCUCUUUUCUGGAUCCUGUUGCAUUUGGCUGCAAACGUGGUCCACUCUUCUCACGUCGCCUUUUCCUUCUAGCAGGCAGAUGUGCUCAGAUCUAAAUCUAUAGCUUCCCUGUGGACACACGCACCUCUGCCACCCCCUCAGACACUCCGUACCCAAAUUGUCAAUGACUUUUCCAGAUGCUGAUGACAAAGGCCAUGGAUCAGCGACACCACCUCAUCUCAAAUUUCCUGCUGUCAUUCUUGCCAAUUCUCAGGUGGUUCCUAUUUUGAUCUGUUCAACGUUGACAUUCCUCAGGACUUCAUCAUCAGCCUUUGUUUUUGUCCCAUUGUACCCACUCCCUUUGGGUGAAAAUACGGCUCUUGUGGCUACAACUACCAUUCUUAUGAGAUAACUCCCAACUACAGACCUGUCUUCUGUGGAACAAACAAGUAUAUUUUACUGUAAAUUAAACUAAUUUUGCGGAAACUUACAUAUCAGUUUAUCUAAGUUGACGCAAAUCCGGAAACAGUAUGCUUCUUACCCAAAUCUACCCAAUCUUCCCAUGAUCUUCCUCUUGAUUAGUGACAUAGUCGACCAUCCAGUUAACUACAUCAGGUGACUCAGGGGUAUAUUCCGUACUUCUCCCUCUUCCCUAAGCUUUCAGCCCAAUUGUGACAACAUUCUACAUAUAUUUUUCCAUCUUAAUGUCCUCAAAUCUUCUGCCGGUUCAUUGUCUCAACUCCACUCUUAGUUCAGACCAAUUGGCUCCUUCCCAGAUUAUGAAUUCCUGAAAUGCCAAACUAAGUGGUUUCCCUGCCUUCGCCUGUGUCUUCCUCCAUUCUUUUCCCCCAGGGUAGACCAUGAAACGAAGAAAUUUUCUUCAAAUGCUUCCCGCAAGUAAGGUUCAAAACCAAACUACUUAAUAUGACCGCGAAGCCUCUUUGUCAUUUCUUGCCUUUCUACCUUACAGUCUGGAACACACACUAAAUUGCCUGCAAGGUCCCUUCCUCUCUCAUCUCUGCCAAAGCAUUUACUCACAGCAUUGUUCUUAGGGUUUGUCUUCUCCCUUCUCUAUAGCCUACUUGGCAGGAAAUGGGGACUAUGUCUUUCAAUAGCUUACAAUGCCUGGUCCAUAGUAAAUACUCAGUAAUAUUUCUUAAGUGACUAGAGGUCAAUUAUCUAAAAUAGGUUAUUAUAAUUGUUAUUAUACCUUCUCAUGUAUAUGCCUUCAAUGUACUUUUAAUCUUCUUGUUCAAUGAUAUCCGUUUACAAAAUAUCACACAGUACAUUUCAUUUCUUACCUAGCUCUUUAAGCUGAUAAUAAACAUGUUAAUUAAGGAAUUAUUAUUUUCCUCAGGCCCAUUUUUAUUACUUUGCAUGAAUUUAUCUAAUUUUUCUAACAGCUACAAGACAGUUAUUAUUUUCAUCUCUAUCUUACGUAUAAGAAAAUUGAUGCACACAGAGAAGCGAAGUAGGGAUUGGAAGCCAAAUGCUGUGACUCCAGAGCCCUGCUUCUUAACCGCCAUGAUACCUUCCAAAUCUCAAUAUUAUACGGCCUUCAGAUUGCACUUCAUCCUAGCUUUCGUCCAUUCUUUUUUUGGAAUUCCUUAAACUGUUAUUUUGACAGUUUCAAGCAUGAAUAGCAAUAAACCUCCCAAAAUGAAGACGAUCCCUAUUCCCAAGACCUGCCGAUUCUGGUCCUUAGCAGUGUGUAAUAUGUACACAGGCUGGAGAACUGUUUCAAUACAAACUAUAAAAAGAGGAUUAAGAAAAAUGGCCAUGAAUGAGUGGCAAAC